UGGUGGAGUGAUUUGUCUGCUUAAUUGCGAUAACGAACGAGACCUUAACCUGCUAAAUAGCCCGGCUGGCUUCGGCUGGUCGCUGGCUUCUUAGAGGGACUAUCGGCUCAAGCCGAUGGAAGUUUGAGGCAAUAACA
rnacentral:rRNA from 1 species